rnacentral:rRNA from 1 species
GUGGGGAAUUUUGGACAAUGGGGGCAACCCUGAUCCAGCCAUUCCGCGUGAGUGAAGAAGGCCUUCGGGUUGUAAAGCUCUUUCAGCAGGAACGAAACGGUCGACUUUAAUAAAGUCGUCUAAUGACGGUACCUGCAGAAGAAGCACCGGCUAACUACGUGCCAGCAGCCGCGGUAAUACGUAGGGUGCGAGCGUUAAUCGGAAUUACUGGGCGUAAAGCGUGCGCAGGUGGCGACAUAAGACAGAUGUGAAAUCCCCGGGCUCAACCUGGGAACUGCGUUUGUGACUGUGUUGCUAGAGUGUAGCAGAGGGGGGUGGAAUUCCACGUGUAGCAGUGAAAUGCGUAGAGAUGUGGAGGAACACCGAUGGCGAAGGCAGCCCCCUGGGUUAACACUGACGCUCAUGCACGAAAGCGUGGGGAGCAAACAGGAUUAGAAACCCUUGUAGUCC